CUGAAAUAUAGUUGUAUUAAAUAUGGAGAGAGGACAAGUAACAGAAAGGAAGAAACAAGAAAAGUUACCCUCUUAGCUUGCAGAGAAAAACAAAGCUUUCCAUGAAGCUGAGGUUUCAACACAUGGCAUUAGCUUGAGUAUUGUGGGAGUUGCUGUGAUUACAGCCCAUUGGUUCUUUAGGGGUGGACUUUUAUGGUCAAAAAAUGUGCGAUUAAAAAGGGACUUGUGAGGUUGUGUCUGUAUGGUGCAAGAAAGCAAAUACCAUUCAUACUCGAUAGACUAAAAUGUAGAUGGUUUCACCAGGGCACCUUUGAGAUGGGCUGCCUGUGGCAGAAGAUUAAAAUCACAGCACUACCCCAGUGUUACAGUUUGAGCAGUGUCCUGUACUCUGGUACUUAA
rnacentral:lncRNA from 1 species